rnacentral:lncRNA from 1 species
UCUCAGAGUCCAUGACAGCUCUGUCCUCUUCAAUAAUGGUGCAUGGUGACCCUCAAUAUGAGAUACAAGCAUCUCUUAUCUGGAGACUGGCUGCUCUCAGCGAAAAAAGAAGGAGUACUGCUAAUAGGCUCCCACCCCACAGCCUGAAUGCCAGGCCAGGCCACCACACAAGAGCUGAAGAGGCCAGGCUCCUCCCCAUUCUCCCAGUGUGCAGGUGGGCCCCUCACCCAUUGCAGGCAUGUGCAGACAAGACCCUGGGCAGGUUCCCUCAUCUGCACAAAAGCAUCUGAUGUAAACACUUGUGGGGUGAGUCAGAGAUUCUCUGGGGACCCUCCCUCAUCUGACUCCUGCAUCUAUCACUAGUGUUACCUCAAAAAGAAUAGAAAAGUUAAAUUGGCAUUUUUUUUUAACCUAAAUGCUAGUGUAUCUGGCAACAUACCAGACAUAUACCUCUCAUAGAAGAUUAAAAGCUUUUUCUUACCAGG